UGUGGCUGUUUUUCUGUGUUUAUUGGUAGUUUUAAUGUUUAAAUGCUCGAGGAGGAAAAGUUACUAGUCUGGUGGUGUCAAAGAGAGGAAGGAAGUGUGGUGACUUGGCACAAAUCCGAUGGAAAGUUCACAGGGGAAGUCCGGCAUCCCUCGCCUUGUCCCAUCGCCAUUAAUACACAACUGUCAGUCAAUCUUAAGCUAUCCCCUCAAGCUUUAAAGAGGGAUGAUCGGUAACGCUUCCAUCACUCCGUUUCCGUCAUUGCACUGCUCCCACCAACUUUGGUUUUAAAUCAGAUCCCCCUUUGGUUAACCAGAUGGUCCCAUUGAGGUCAGAAGACCUCUUUGCCAAGGGAAACCUGGCCAAGUGAAACCUGGCCAAGUGAGGCAGUAUCCCUGCCUGUUCAACUGGGGUUCCUUGAUAGGAAAGAUGUGAAGAAUAUGUCCACUUUGGCCAACUCCAGAAAAGGUCCGUCCAUAUACAAUAAGCUUGACGGAUAUCUGUAACUCUCCAACCAAGUUGGUGAAAUUACAAAAGCGUCAAUCGAUUGUGUGCAGUCCUACGAUGUCCCGUGAUUUUCUUUUCACCCGGUGAAUACACAAUGUGCCCAAAACAUUCAAAAGUCUUUACUUUGCUCCUCUGACAUUUUGGGAUGGAAUGUGUUGAGGCAAAACAAUGAAGUUUGGUACUGUUAAAGGGAUACUUCGAGAUUUUGGCAAUGAGGCCCUUUAUCUACUUCCCCGAGUUAGAUGAACUUGUGGAUACCAUUUAUAUGUCUGUGUCGAGUAAGAGUAUGAAGGAAAAUAGAGGUAGUUUCACAAGCCAAUGCUAACUAGUGUUAGCGCAAUGACUGGAAGUCUAUGGGGAUCUGCUAGCAUGCUACAGGUUUGGUACAGCAUAGAGAUCUGCUAGCAUGCUACAAGUUUGGUACUGAAAAUGACAUGAACCAUAUGAAUAAAUUAAGAUGAACACCAGAAUAACCGCUAAUGGAAUAGCUAACUAAAUAUGGUUUACCAGUACUGUAUUAAAAUGUACCUUUCUGACUGUAAGCCUACUGUCCUCAAAAGAACCAUUAAAAUGAUUGUUAUUGCACAGUGCCUUGAAUGGCUUCAGAUUAUUCUAGACAAUCCUCCAUCUUCGAUAAAGUAAUUAUUGCAUCAUCCCAUGGGUGGUCCCUAGGCCUCUUGCUCUCUUUGUGGUUAUUUCACCGUAUCUUGUGGGUCAGUGCUUAUAUUUGUCCUAUUUCACACAUGUACAAGUGUGUGAAUUGGAAAAUGUGAUUUUGCAUAUCCCACUUUCCCUGAGACACCCUCGGAGAAUGGGGUCAAGGCCAGAGUUGGCCAUUACUAGCGACAUUUCGCUCAUACCGCUAGGCUACCUGCCUCCAGUGGUCGGCCUUAGGCGUCCGACUCUCUAAUCUCUCGGCCAGGUAGGGAAUGGCUCAACGCAGGGCUGUUGACGCUGAGCGAGUGCGGGAAGAAAGAGGGUAUGUGGGUUAUGACAUUCAGCAGCGGGCUGGCCAGAGGGCUCCCCUCGAUGGGGGUCAUGGGGAUGAUGACGUUGUCUGUGUCCCAGACGUGGAAGGCGUUGUGGUGGGAGUUGGUCAUGAUGGGGGGCAUGUGGGAAGGACCGCAGGGCUUCAGGUCACCAUCCUUCAGGGGGUCAGGUUCCACGGGACCCAGCAGGCAGUCUGGAGAGAGAGAGAAGUGGGGAUAGAUGGUGUGAUUAGUAGCAUAGAAAUGAAUGGUGGUUAGAGAUAUGACUCCUUUCUCCUAGGUUUCCCCAGUUCAUAAAAUGUAGGCUAUUAUCACAUCCAAAUCUUUCACAGAGGCCUGCUAAACAACAGAAACACAAUGGGUACAACAUGUCUUCAGCAGGCAGUCUGUGGAUAGAGAGAGGUGGAUGGUGUGAUUUAGG
rnacentral:lncRNA from 1 species